rnacentral:rRNA from 1 species
AUUCCAGCUCCAGUAGCGUAUAUUAAAGUUGUUGCAGUUAAAAAGCUCGUAGUUGGAUUUCUGAUAGUAGCGUUGGGCCCGCCCGGGUUACCGGUGUGAGUGCCUGUUCGCUCCUUUCAUCCUUCUAGAGAACGGUUCUCUCCUUCAUUGGCAGUGGGAUCGCAAUCUAGAUCUUUUACUUUGAAAAAAUUAGAGUGUUUAAAGCAGGCUUGUGCUAUGAAUACAUUAGCAUGGAAUAAUAAUUUAGGACUUUAGUUCUAUUUUGUUGGUUUCUAGAACUGAAGUAAUGAUUGAUAGGGAUAGUUGGGGGUGCUAGUAUUCAGCGGCCAGAGGUGAAAUUCUUGGAUUCGCUGAAGACUAACUUAUGCGAAAGCAUUCACCAAGGAUGUCUUCAUCA